rnacentral:snoRNA from 1 species
UGCCAUAAUGAUGAUACUUAUUUGCUACUCUUGAGAAAAUAAUGAUGAGAACACUUAACCCACCUUUGUUUCAAACUGAGGCA